AGGGGCAUGUGAGGGCUGUCGCUGACUCAAAGUCGUGCACGCCCGAGUGUGUCCUCUCACAUAAUAAUCCAUCUCACCCUUUGUGCAUCGCCGCGUGAGCACCCUUUGGGAUCAUCUCGGAGGGGGCUCGCGUUUUCACACAAACCCCCCUUUUAAAAGUGUAGAAUGACCUCAUUUAUGCGCUAACACGCAAUCAAUACAACUUUCAACAACGGAUCUCUUGGCUCUCGCAUCGAUGAAGAACGCAGCGAAAUGCGAUACGUAAUGUGAAUUGCAGAAUUCAGUGAAUCAUCGAAUCUUUGAACGCACCUUGCGCCCCUUGGUAUUCCGAGGGGCACACCCGUUUGAGUGUCGUGAAAACCUCAACCUCCUUGGUUUCUUCUGGAGACCAAAGGCAGGCUUGGACUUUGGAGGCCCUUGCUGGAACCUCUCUCUUUUGAAGGCCAGCUCCUCUUAAACGAAUUAGCAGGGUCCUCUUUGCCGAUCCUCGACGUGUGAUAAGAUGUUUCCAUGUCUUGGUUUCUGGCUCUGUCACUUUUGGGACCCGCUUCUAACCGUCUUGACCUUGCAUCGAGACAAUGUUCGAGCAUGUCUCCCUUCUCGGGAAGCUCCCUCGACCCCACGAACCCUUGACCUCAAAUCGGGUGAGACUACCCGCUGAACUUAAGCAUAUCA
rnacentral:rRNA from 1 species